UACGGCGGGUGCGAGCGUUGUCCGGAAUCACUGGGCGUAAAGGGCGCGUAGGCGGCGCGGGAAGUCAUCGGUGAAAGCUCAGGGCUCAACUCUGAGUCGGCCGGUGAUACUCUCGUGCUUGAGCACUGUAGAGGCAGGUGGAAUUCCGGGUGUAGCGGUGGAAUGCGUAGAGAUCCGGAAGAACACCGGUGGCGAAGGCGGCCUGCUGGGCAGUAGCUGACGCUGAUGCGCGACAGCGUGGGGAGCAAACAGG
rnacentral:rRNA from 1 species